AAAGGCACAGGCAGGCCUGCCCUCAAGGAGCUUCAGCCACAGGAGGAAAGGGAACAAAACGUGAGAUUCAAGAGCUGUUCCCAAGUGACGCGCAUCCAUUCACCAAGUUAAUGCUUAAUAAGAACAAUCUACAAAGGGUGACCGAAAGAUGAGGAGAGUGAAGACCGCCUCCAAUGAGCCCGA
rnacentral:lncRNA from 1 species